UGGCUUAGAUGGUAAAGAAUCUGCCUGCAAUGCAGGAGACCUGGGUUCGAUCCCCGG
rnacentral:tRNA from 1 species